rnacentral:pre_miRNA from 1 species
GGGUGAGAAUCUCCAUGUUGGAGAAGCAGGGCACGUGCAAACCAACAAACACGAAAUCCGUCUCAUUUGCUUAUUUGCACGUACUUAACUUCUCCAACAUGAGCUCUUCACCC